AGUCACUGACAUUAGAUACCCGGGUAGUCCAGGGUGUAAACGCUGCAGACUUGGUGUUGGAGGCCCUUUGGGGGCAUUCAGUGCCGGAGAGAAGUUGUUAAGUCUGCUACUUGGGAGUACGUCCGCAAGGAUGAAACUUAAAGGAAUUGGCGGGGGGAGGCACCGCAACGGGAGGAGCGUGCGGUUUAAUUGGAUUCAACACCGUAAACUCACCAGGGAAGACUGUUACAUGAAGGCCGAGAUGAAGACUCUGCUAGAUUUUCAG
rnacentral:rRNA from 1 species